UCUCUCUCUAACCCUAACCCUCUCUGAAAUCAAUAAAAAAAUAUUUUUAAAAAAUUAGGUCCCAUGUAAUAUGAUUUAUACUUACACUAAAAAGUUAUUUGCUAUUACUCUACUUUAACCAGGUGCCCUUUAUUUUAUCUGGUAACCCUAGUUUUGGAGGGAAGUUUGAGUUGUGUGUCAGAGAUGCUGAGUAGGCAGUUGGAUCAAUGCGCCUGCACUUCAGGGGUGAGUUUUGACCUGGAGAUGAGCACUUGGGAGACAUCAGCAUAAAGGUAGCCUCUAAAGCGAUGAGACGAUGAGACAGGAGGAAGUCAACAAGGGAGUGAGCGUGGACAGAGAACAAGUCUAAGGAGGAAGGUUGGGGCCCUCCAGUGGGAAGAGAUGGGAGAGACGAGGAAGACCCAAAGAGAAGACGGGGAGAAGGAGCCAGUGAGGUGGCAUGGAAGUAAGUCUGUCCACUAGGUCCCUAAGGUACAGGUGGCUCAAGCACAACUUCCGACCGUCCCAAAUUCUGUUUCCUCCCCUAUCCCACCCCAAUUCAAGAUACAACUGCAUCUAUCCAGCAGCAGAGGUCAAAUAUCUAGGAAUUAUCUUUAAUUUCUCUUUCCUUCACCCCCACACAUGCUUAUUCCAACAGCAAAUUCGGUCUCUUUUGCUUCUAAGACAUGCAUUUAAUCCAUCCAGGUCUCCCCAUCUCCUCUACUCCUACCGUAGUCCACCUUCAUGAGCGAUAUUGUGGGACGACGACCCUGGACGUAGAAUCGGGAGCCCGGAGAACCACGUUCAGUGAUGGAACGCUUGGAGCUAUCCAGACGUCAGCCGAUCCUGGUGCUACUGUGAGCUCCCUCCCCUCUCUCACCUGUCAAAUGCGGGACCACGUGGAUGAGCUGGGCAACCCGGUUAGCGUGGACAGUCGGGAAUGUGUCUCGCAUCUCAAGUGAACAAGUAUCUGCUGACCUUCCUAUCAGAGGAGACGUUUCCACCAGCAUUGCCGGGAUUUCAUCUCAGAGAUGCUGAGGGCUUGAUGUCAGAGCUCCCCUCACUGCCCCACCCACAUUUCACACCAGGAAGUUGGUGGAUUUGCUGGGGGGGCUAAGAAUGCACAGUUCUUUCUAGUAUCCAACCGAGGGAAGCUGGUCCUGGGACUGCACAGCUAAGGCGGGGACUGCAGUGGAGAUUUCCAAACCCUGGCCUUUCUCGUCAAGAGACAAGAAGAGAUGAACGUACCAGGAUACCUCUGUAUGACAUUUUGACCCAGCGCUCAAGUGAUGUCAUCUUCAGAACCUUCUGGUAUAGCCAUAUAAGAGGAGGGCGCUGAGAAGACUGAAGUGGCCUACUUGGUCUUUAAAGCUGAACAUAGGGUUAAAGUGUGACUCAAAACUGAGUUUCAGGAAGUCAAGUUUGAAAAGCCAUUAUCUCCCUUAAUCACUUCUUUCUAAUGUUCCUUUCCUUUGUUCUCUAUUGGUUUAUUUGGGAUUAAAAAGCAAAUAAUUUAUGUAGCACUUUGUUAUCAUAAAUAAGUUAAAAAUGUUAAAUACCUGAUGCGCCCGCAGUGUUGGCUGCGGGUGUGGGGUAGGUGUCUAUCUGACGCUAUGCGUGGCUGCAGGGGCAGGUGUAGGGAGCCCCUCCCAGUUAAUGCAGAGCAGAUUUGCGUUGGGGAGAACUCUCUGGCCGUGCAGUAACCGAACGAGGGAAGAGUGAGGGGUGGGAGUGGACAGAUGGGGCAGGGAGGCCAUUCUGAAGGCAGCUGUAGAUUGUGUGAGAAACAGGGGUGGUCCGAGGUAGACACAGUGGGGACUGAGGGAGAA